ACGGGAGGCAGCAGUGGGGGAUAUUGCACAAUGGGGGAAACCCUGAUGCAGCGACGCCGCGUGAGUGAAGAAGUAUUUCGGUAUGUAAAGCUCUAUCAGCAGGGAAGAAAAAUGACGGUACCUGACUAAGAAGCCCCGGCUAACUACGUGCCAGCAGCCGCGGUAAUACGUAGGGGGCAAGCGUUAUCCGGAUUUACUGGGUGUAAAGGGAGCGCAGACGGUUUUGCAAGUCAGAAGUGAAAACCCAGGGCUCAACCUUGGGAUUGCUUUUGAAACUGUAGGACUUGAGUGCCGGAGAGGUAAGCGGAAUUCCUAGUGUAGCGGUGAAAUGCGUAGAUAUUAGGAGGAACACCAGUGGCGAAGGCGGCUUACUGGACGGUAACUGACGUUGAGGCUCGAAAGCGUGGGGAGCAAACAGGAUUAGAUACCCUGGUA
rnacentral:rRNA from 1 species